rnacentral:tRNA from 1 species
ACUCGGACAGCUCAGUCAGUAAAGCAUGAGACUCUUAAUCUCAGGGUCCUGAAUUCGAGCCCCACACUGGGCA